GAUAUCGAAUUUACAUGGAUAACCGUGGUAAUUCUAGAGCUAAUACAUGCUGGUAGGCCCGACUUUUGCGGAAGGGCGGUAUUUAUUAGAUAACAAGCCAAUAUUCCUCUGGUCUAUUGUAGUGACUCAUAAUAACUGAUCGAAUCGCAAGGCCUUUGGCCGCGAUAAGUCAUUCAAGUUUCUGCCCCAUCAGCUUUCGAUGGUAGUGUAUUGGACUACCAUGGCGUUUACGGGUAACGGAGGAUUAGGGUUCGAUUCCGGAGAGGGAGCCUGAGAAACGGCUACCACAUCUAAGGAAGGCAGCAGGCGCGUAAAUUACCCAAUCCUGACUCAGGGAGGUAGUGACAAGAAAUAACGGACCGAGGCCUUCGGGCUUCGGGAUUGGAAUGAGCCGAAUUUACACCCCUUAGCGAAGAUCGAUUGGAGGGCAAGUCUGGUGCCAGCAGCCGCGGUAAUUCCAGCUCCAAUAGCGUAUAUUAAAGUUGUUGCAGUUAAAAAGCUCGUAGUUGGAUUUCUGGGAGGGUGCCGAUGUCCACUUAACGUGUGCGCAGCGGCGCCCUCUCAUCCUUCUGUUAGCGUCUCUUGGCAUUCAUUUGCUGGUGGCGGGCUCAGAUAUUUUACCUUGAGAAAAUUAGAGUGUUUCAGGCAGGCUAGGCCGGAAUACAUUAGCAUGGAAUAAUGGAAUAGGACUACGGUCUCUUUGUUGGUUUGAGGGACUGCAGUAAUGAUUAAUAGGGAUAGUUGGGGGCAUUAGUACUUAACUGUCAGAGGUGGAAUUCUCAGAUUUGUUAAAGACUGACUUAUGCGAAAGCAUUUGCCAAGGAUGUUUUCAUUAAUCAAGAACGAAAGUUAGGGGAUCAAAGACGAUCAGAUACCGUCCUAGUCUUAACCAUAAACUAUGCCGACUCGGGAUUGGGGGCGUGUUCUAUCCGCCUUCAGCACCGUAUGAGAAUCAAAGUCUUUGGGGUU
rnacentral:rRNA from 1 species